GUGGGGAAUAUUGGACAAUGGGCGAAAGCCUGAUCCAGCCAUGCCGCGUGUGUGAAGAAGGUCUUCGGAUUGUAAAGCACUUUAAGUUGGGAGGAAGGGCAGUAAGUUAAUACCUUGCUGUUUUGACGUUACCGACAGAAUAAGCACCGGCUAACUUCGUGCCAGCAGCCGCGGUAAUACGAAGGGUGCAAGCGUUAAUCGGAAUUACUGGGCGUAAAGCGCGCGUAGGUGGUUUUGUAAGUUGGAGGUGAAAUCCCCGGGCUCAACCUGGGAACUGACUCCAAAAAUGCAUGACUAGAGUACGGUAGAGGGUAGUGGAAUUUCCUGUGUAGCUGUGAAAUGCGUAGAUAUAGGAAGGAACACCAGUAGCGAAGGCGACUACCUGGACUGAUACUGACACUGAGGUGCGAAAGCGUGGGGAGCAAACAGGAUUAGAAACCCGUGUAGUCC
rnacentral:rRNA from 1 species